UACGUAGGGUGCGAGCGUUGCCCGGAUUUAUUGGGCGUAAAGGGCGCGUAGGCGGCUCUGCACGUCCGUUGUGAAAUCGCCCGGCUCAACUGGGCGGGGUCAGCGGAUACGGCGGAGCUUGAGCAAGCUAGGGGGCAAUGGAAUUCCCGGUGUAGUGGUGGAAUGCGUAGAUAUCUGGAGGAACACCAGUGGCGAAGGCGGCAUCCUGGCCCUGACCUGACGCUCAGGGGCGAAAGCGUGGGGAGCAAACCGG
rnacentral:rRNA from 1 species